ACGGUGCGCAGUCCGACCCUUGCGCUUGGCUUCUUUUCGGGCCGACUUUAGCUCGAACCCGAGACGAGAGAUCUCGUCCACCAACUUCGCCUCCCGGUCGGUCAACUGCUUCAGGUGUUCGACCAGCAUCGCCCUGUCGGCUUCGACGGCCGUCGCCCUGUCCUUCCAAGCCGCCCGGACGUUCCCGAACCUCCGGUACCCGACCUCAAGUUCGGACAUG
rnacentral:lncRNA from 1 species